GCAUGCUCAUCUACAGAAGCGCCGCUUGGCCUUUGGACUAACCUAUCUGUCGCGCUAACGGGCCGGCGUCGCCGCCAGGGGACGCUCGGGCAGCAGGGUGGUCGCUGGGUGGUGAGCUGGCGCCGGGGACGCCGAGCGACUGCGGGGCUUCUGUCAGCGUCCUGCUAUGCGGCUGCCCGCCUCGCUCCCUGGUAGUGUCCGUGGACGCGCAGGCCUUGAAGAACCUCCUCGCGGCGGGCCCCCGAGCGCAGGAGAGGUGUGAAAGCGCCGACGCGUCUCCAGAGCCCCGGGAGGAAGGCUGUAACGGCAGCCCCAUCGUAGACAGGGACAUUCGCAUCCCGAGCCCUGGAUCUCUGAAAAGCAGACCAGAAUUUGGAAGCUGGACGGAACCUUAGAUCGUCCAUUCUGGGUGUCUCUCUUCGCUGGCGUUUUCCCACGAGAGGAACCUACAAGUGUCAAGGAAAAAAGGACAGCUAACCACAGGGCAGGCCACGGGCAAGAUAUCUCAGUGUUCUCCGCUCUCAGGUCAGGUAGGUACCGUCGGCAUCCCCAUUUUACAGAUGAGGAAACUCAGGUGGCCCAGAGUCUAGGUCACGUGACAGAUCGCCCCCCACCUGCCUGACUCCUGCCUAAGAGUCUCGGUCUUUUUCUGAAGGUGCAGUUGACAGGAGCCUGUGAGUACUGGGGAAGGGCCAGGGGCCAGGACUGAGCUUACCCCUGCAUCUAGUCCAAACUUUCCCAUUUCGAAGGUUUAAAAGACCAGAUACACUUUUUUCUUCCUUAUUAUCUUUUAAAAUGUAUAUAUUCAAGUGAGCUAUAAAAAAGGAAGCACGUAACAUACAUAAAUUAUAAAGCAUAAUAAUAAAAUGGAAGCUUUUGAAC